GGGGUGGUAAAUUCGGAGUUAAAGGUGGCAAGUUUGGGGGAAAAUGGGGUGGUAAAGGUGGCAAGUUUGGGGGAAAAUGGGGUGGCAAAUUCGGAGGUAAAGGUAAAUUUGGUGGCAGGUUUGGAGCCAAAGGUGGAGGUGGGAGUUUCAAAGUAGGGGGCGGGAGUUUCAAGGUAGGAGGGGGUGCAGGAGGAGGCGGGCAAGGGUCAUGGAGUAGCAGUAGUAAGUCAGGGGGGUCGUGGAGCAGUGGUAGUAGUGGGGGUUCUACCUCUUGGUCUGUGAGUGGUGGGGGUAAGAAUAAACAAGGUGAUACUCAGAGUGGGAAUGGUGGUCCUCCUGGUGGUACAAAUAAUAAAGGUAACAGUGUGUCUGGCAGCGCCACCACAGGAGUGGGUGGUCAGGAUUAUGGUGGUAGGACAGAUGGUGGUAGGAUAGAUGGUGGCAAGGGUGGUGUUGCUGAAGUGACCAGUAAGAUUGAUGGUAAUCACGCUGGUGUUGGUGGUAAUGGUGAAGAUGGCGAGGCUCUCAGUGAUAAACUGGCACAUGAUGGUACCAACAAUAACCAACUAAAUGACGACGGUAAUAAACAAGAGAAGACGACGAACGACGAUCCAACUGGUACCAUUCCUGCCGGCACGAAUACCGAAGCAAAAACGGACAGUACUGGCGGUCAUCGAGGUAAGGGAGAGCUUUGGAAGUGGGGCAAGAAGAACACCGUCGGAGAAAACCACAUCGAACAUUCAAAACUGUACAAAUAUGACAAUCCCGAGAAGGAUAAUGGACUAAAUAAAUCGUUUAAAAAGGAAAUUAAUGCACUGAAGAAAAACGUUCAAAAAACGUAUCGAACAAUAGAAACGUGAAAGCGAUAAGAACAAAAUUAGAUAUUAAAGUUUCGUGAGUAUUUUACAACAGAUAGAUAACUUGUAAACAUCAUCCGUCAAGAUUUUUAAUAUGGAGAAGUUAAACCUUGGUAAACGAAGUUUAAACUUUAAAAUAGAGAGUAAGAAAUGUAUAUAAGUAUUUUUAAUAAAAUAAUCAUUAUAUUAAGCAAGCCUUUAGCCCGCUAAACAACUAGUCUGUGACGUGUAAUUGCUUUAUAUCUUUAUAUAUUUUCAAUUAAUAUUCUUCGCAUUAAACCCAGUACUUAGUUAUCUUUAGAUGACGUGUAUCGAUAUGGCGUUUUUGAAGCCGUUAUAUAAACAAG